UUUGAUGGAAACGUUAAAAAAACUUCAACCAGAAUACGAUUCAACUGUAUAUGUGAUACAAAAUUUACAACAUAAGCAUAAGUAUACAACGAAUGACUUGUUGACCAUAAGUACUAAAAUAGAAAAGGUUUUAUAAUUAGAAAAGAAUAGCGCUUAUAAAAAUACUUUCUUCGAGACGGAUGUUGAAUGGUUUAUUCGUCUGGGAUUGAUCAUGCAAAACAAUAUCCUGACUGGAAUGGAAUCCUUACAAGAUAUCUUAGAAAAAGUUAAUGAUCAACUCGGAUAUAGUCAUCCCCAUGUUAUGCAGACCAGAUCUAGCAAAAAACUCAAAAACGGAAAGACCCAUCACGUACAAAGUCAACCAUGUAAUAAUCAGAAAACAGCUUUACAAAUUACUUUGAAAGAAGAAAUAUACAAGAUAAGCAACAAUGUUACACUUCACGUUUGGAAGAUUCUGUCUUUCAGAAAUUCCUCUAUUCAAGCCUUUGGUUUUGUAAAAGGGGUUGUUCGCAUCUACCUUAAAGAUAUAUCGCUUGAAGCCGAUGUAAUGAAAUAUUUCAAGAAGUUUUAAAAGUCAAAUGGUCUGCACGUAACAAUGCAAGUAUGGCCUAGUAAUCGUCAAAUGACAAAAUAUUCUUUUGAACAAGGGAGUCGCAUUGAUGUGUCGAAUGCACCAUUAGCAGAAAAUGAAGAAAUUAAAUAUGGCACUUUGGGAAUGUUUCUUGAAAACAGAAGGAAGGAAUUAUUUUUUACUACAUGUGCUCAUGUUAUUGAAAAGGGCAAGUAUGCAUUUUGUCCAAAGGAUCAUUCAAUUCUUGGAGAAAGUGUUUUUGCCCACGAAGGACCAUCGUAAAACUCCAAACAGUGGCUUGACUUGUCAUUGGUGAAAGUCCACAAUAGCAAGAUUCAAAAAUGCAGAUCCGGUCUUAAAGGCGAUAGUGAAUGCUCUCAUUUAUUAGAAUACACAAUAUUUCCCGGAUUCCUAGAUGAUAUUCAUUCAAGACCAGUAUAUAAGUGGGGAGCUCGGACAAAUUACACAGACGGAACAAUAGACGACUAUGUCAUUUCGAGAGAUGACUCAGACCAGAAAUACUUUCUUGAGAUUCGAGUUUCAGGUUCGCGCAAAUUUGCACUGCCUGCUGACAGUGGAGCCUUAAUAUGUAUGAAUUAUCCAUCACAUAUUGGUAAUGGUCCGACUGCAGCCUUUGUGAUUAUAGGUGCUGAAGAAAUACCAAUUGAAGACCAAACGAUCACUAUGCUUUGCUGUUACAGCAUUUCAGAUGCUAUUGAAGAAAUAAGAACAAGUGGUACAUUUGGAGAAGGCAUACAACCGCGUGCUGUAAUAAGACAAUCGCGUCGAAUUGCCUCCGUAUCCGGAUGUAAUUCAGAAUUAAAGACAUCUGUCAAAAGACAAAAAGUUCUACCACCGCGAAAGUAGCGAAAAAUUAUGAGAAACAGUGUAUAACUUUCUGAAUUAAAAUUAUUUUAUCAAAUCAUGAUCACUAUACUGUAAAUUAAAUAUUAUAUUUGAAUUGAAAUAUUUUAAGCUAAAUUGUAGAUUUAACAAUGUAAACAGAAAUCACAAAAAAUAAAAUUCGAUGUGGAAUUGAUAUUU